UACGUAGGGUGCAAGCGUUGUCCGGAAUUAUUGGGCGUAAAGAGCUCGUAGGCGGUUUGUUGCGUCGGCUGUGAAAUCCCGAGGCUCAACCUCGGGUCUGCAGUCGAUACGAGCAAACUAGAGUGUUGCAGGGGAGACUGGAAUUCCUGGUGUAGCGGUGAAAUGCGCAGAUAUCAGGAGGAACACCGGUGGCGAAGGCGGGUCUCUGGGCAACAACUGACGCUGGAGGAGCGAAAAGCCGUGGGGGAGCGAAACAGG
rnacentral:rRNA from 1 species